CCUACGGGGGGCAGCAGUGAGGAAUAUUGGUCAAUGGGCGGAAGCCUGAACCAGCCAAGUCGCGUGAGGGAAUAAGGCCCUACGGGUCGUAAACCUCUUUUGCCGGGGAGCAAGGGCGGGGACGUGUCCCGGCCCGGAGAGUACCCGGAGAAAAAGCAUCGGCUAACUCCGUGCCAGCAGCCGCGGUAAUACGGAGGAUGCGAGCGUUAUCCGGAUUUAUUGGGUUUAAAGGGUGCGUAGGCGGAAGGUUAAGUCAGCGGUCAAAUGUCGGUGCUCAACACCGGCCUGCCGUUGAAACUGGUCUUCUUGAGUGAGCGAGAAGUAUGCGGAAUGCGUGGUGUAGCGGUGAAAUGCAUAGAUAUCACGCAGAACUCCGAUUGCGAAGGCAGCAUACCGGCGCUCAACUGACGCUGAGGCACGAAAGCGUGGGGAUCGAACAGGAUUAGAUACCCGAGUAGUC
rnacentral:rRNA from 1 species